CCCUCCGUCUGGGUCUGUCUCCCAUGAGGAGACAGAGGGGCUGCUGCUCUGAGUCUGUUCUUCACCAGACUGUUCUUCCACAGGUCCAGCGAGCCGCACUGUCACUGUCCCAGAGGGAGGAUCUGUAAUCCUGAUCUGUGCUGUGAGAAAGCCUCCCUCAGUCGGUCAGCAAUUAGAGUGGACAGUCUUCAAGGGAGAUGGUAUCUCCUUUGUGGUGUCCAGACAGCAGGAUGGACAAGUGAGUAAAGGCAUUAAUGAUCCACAGCACAGAUUCUCUCUGCUUGACGAUUCCUCCCUCCGGAUAACAAAUAUACAACCUGGAGACGCUGGCCAGUACAGGUGUAACUGGCAGCCUGCUGCGGUUCUACAGGUGACAGCAGGGGACUCCAAGAUUACUGAAGCCCCCGGCACUGGGAGCCCCAGUCCAGGGGACCCCAAGACGGCUGAAGCCCCCAGCACUGAGAGCCCCAGUCCAGGUACUGAAACCCCGACUGUCCCACUGACCAUCAAAGACCUCUCUGCCCCUCCAUGACCUCACUGGUCCUGCGGCUGAUGGUCACCUCAGGGAACAGGGUGACCAGCUGG